UACGUAGGGUGCAGGCGUUAAUCGGAAUUACUGGGCGUAAAGCGCACGCAGGCGGCGCGGUAAGUCUGAUGUGAAAUCUCCCGGCUUAACUGGGAGGGGUCAUUGGAAACUGCCGAGCUUGAGGCGAUGAGAGGGGUGUAGAAUUCCCGGUGUAGUGGUGGAAUGCGUAGAUAUCGGGAGGAACACCAGUGGCGAAGGCGGCUAUCUGGAUCAACACUGACACUGAGGCACAAAAGCGUGGGGAGCAAACAGG
rnacentral:rRNA from 1 species